ACGAACGCUGGCGGCCGUGGAUUAAGACAUGCAAGUCGAACGAGAUAUUGUUUGUAGCAAUACAAGCGAUGUCUAGUGGCGUAAGGGUGCGUAACACGUGGGCAACCUGCCGGAAGUGGGGGAUAGCUCGCCGAAAGGCGAAUUAAUACCGCAUGUGGUCAGUGAAGACAUCUUCGCGAAACCAAAGUCGGGGCAACCUGACGCUUCUGGAUGGGCCCGCGGCCUAGUCAGCUAGUUGGUGAGGUAAACGGCUCACCAAGGCUAUGACGGGUAGCUGGUCUGAGAGGACGACUCAGGCCACACUGGGAACUGAGACACGGUCCCAGACACCUACGGGUGGCAGCAGUCGAGAAUUUUUCUCAAUGGGGGCAACCCUGAAGGCAGCGACGCCGCGUGAGGAUGAAGGCUCUCGGAUUGUAAACUCCUGUCAUUUGGAACAAUUGCAGGCGAUUAACUGUCGUACUGUUUGAUAGUACCAGAAGAGGAAGAGCCCGGCUAACUCGGUGCCAGCAGCCGCGGGUAAUACAGAGGGGCUCAAGCGUUGCUUCGGAUUCAUUGGGCGUAAAGGGUGCGUAGGUGGCGAGGUCUUAAGUCAGGUGUGAAAUCCGGGGCUCAACUCCAGAAACUGCACUUUGAUACUGCCUUGCUAGAGUACUGGAGAGGUAGAUUGGAACUUACGGUUAGUGUAGCAGUGAAAUGCGUAGAUAUCGUAAGGAAGCACCAGUGGCGAAGGCGAAUCUCCUGGACCGAUACUGACCUGAGGCACGAAAGGCCAGGGGAGCAAACAGGGAUUAGAUACCCCUGGUAGUCCUGGCAGUAAACGAUGAUGCAGCGUUUGGGUUGGAGGAUUCGACCCUCUGUGCCGGAAGCUAACGCGUUAACGCAGCCGCCUGGGGAGUACGGUCGCAAGAUUAAAACUCAAAGAAAUUGACGGGGGCCCGCACAAGCGGUGGAGUAUGUGGUUAAUUCGAUGCAACGCGAAGAACCUUACCUAGCCCUUGACAUGCAUCUCUAGUCGCGGACUGCAAGCCGGCGUCUUGUCAGUAAUCGGACUUGCGACAGGUGCUGCAUGGCUGUCGUCAGCUCGUGUCGUGAGAUGUUGGGUUAAGUCCCGCAACGAGCGCAACCCCCUGUAACUAGUUGCACUAGCCUUCGGCGAGCACUCUAGUUCAGACUGCCCUGUGAUAAGCGGGAGGAAGGUGGGGAUGACGUCAAGUCAUCAUGGCCCUUACGGCUAGGGCUGCACACGUGCUACAAUGCUAGUACAGAACGAACCGAACCGCGAGGUGGAGGAAAUCCCUAAAACUGAGCCCAAUUCGGAUUGGAGGCUGCAACUCGCCUCCAUGAAGCCGGAAUCGCUAGUAAUGGCGUAUCAGCUACGACGCCGUGAAUACGUUCCCGGGCCUUGUACACACCGCCCGUCACAUCAUGGAAGUCACUUGUACCCGAAGUGCAUGCGCCAACCGCAAGGAGGCAGUGCCUUAAGGUAUGGGCGGUAACUGGGAUG
rnacentral:rRNA from 1 species